rnacentral:rRNA from 1 species
GUCCACGCCCUAAACGAUGUCAACUGGGUGUUGGGGGAGCGAUUCCUCAGUACCGUAGCUAACGCGUGAAGUUGACCGCCUGGGGAGUACGGCCGCAAGGUUAAAACUCAAAGGAAUUGAUGGGGACCAGCACAAGCGGUGGAUGAUGUGGAUUAAUUCGAUGCAACGCGAACAACCUUACCUACCCUUGACAUGUCCGGAAGCCUGCUGAAAGGUGGGUGUGCCCGAAAGGGAAUCGGAACACAGGUGCUGCAUGGCUGUCGU